CCAUCCCACCUAUGAAUCUUCAGAAUAAAGCCAUGUAUGAUAUAGAUCAUCAAAACCUGUAGCUGGUCGCUUGAUAUUGCUUUUAACCAUCCAUCAUGACGGAGUCGAACAUAGGAAGAAUUAUCCUAUUUUCACAAAAAUUUAAUUGAACUAGACCUUCUUUUUUUUUUAACUCAUUAAAAUUUACAAGAAUGAAAAGCCCUUUUUUUUUAGAUUCAAUUUUCGUUUCUGAAAGCAGAAGUGGGUCAAGGGUGGACUGACCACGAGCUCCAAUGGCAAUUCGGUAACUCAAAACGCGCCUCACUAAAAUGGGAACAAGAGUAGGGUGGCAGUAAAGUUCGUGAGCCGUGAUCAUGUAUGGACUACAACCGUUAGGAUAGUCCCAAGCUCACAAAUACUCACACACUCUAAUCGCUUGAGUCGAAUAGUUAUUUGGGUCUUCAGAAAGAUGAGCACUUGUUUAGAGUAAGCAUGUAAAGCGGAUCAACCCUACACCGUUAAGAUAGUCCCACGACCAAGACUGCCAUGGCAUACCAAACUUACAAUCACAAACAAAGUUUAUUAAGAUUAAGAGUAUUUAAAAGAUUAUUUAAUUAACAGAAGAGAUGAAUAUACAAAGGGGAUAUUUUAUUUAUAUCAAACACUCACAAAUUACAAAUUACAAAUACAUAGUGGGUACAAUCACAAACAAAGUUUAUUAAUAUCAAAAGUAUUUAAAAAAUUAUUUAAAUAACAGAAGAAAUGAAUAUACAAAGAGGAUAUUUUAUUUAUAUCAAAUACUCACAAAUUACAAAAACAUUCAAACUUUUUCUUAUAUUCGAUUUCAUGACUUUACUUGGCUUAUUCAAACACUCAAACCUCUUAUUUAUAGUGAUGAAAUUACACACAUUAAUACCUAACUUAGAGCUAUUAUACACUUGAAUACCUAAAUUACUCAUGCAUAAUUAUUUAUUUUUUACUUAUUCAACAUGUGCAUAAUUAUUUAUUCAAUAAAAACAUGUGGCGGCUUAGUUUUUGACAUUUAUUCAUUCGAAAUGUUAACUUUUAAAUGUGAAGUAUUAAUAAGUAAGUCUAGUUAAAUUAAAGUUUAAACUCUAAUAUUAAUAACCUUGUUAACUAUAAAAGCUAAACUUAAGUUUUGCCCGCCAAAAAGAAGCUAAAAAUGAGUAAUUUAAAGCCUUUGAGAAAUGUAAAUGUCCGGAAGUGGAAGCAGCAUUGGACGAAGUGUUGUUUUGGGGACUCUACUGAUUUCCUAUUUUUUUUAUCCAGUUUUCAUGUUUUUUUUAAAACUCUAUUGAUUUUCUGGAUUUUCUGGAUUUUCUGGGAAACGUUUUCCUAAAAAAAAAAAACAAGGGAGUAGAAAAGUGUCAACAAACAACUCGCAUGAGAAGUAGAGAACCCUUUGACUUAAAAAAAAAAAAUCAUAAUAAUUCUCCGAAUAUUUCUGCUCAAAAUAACAAACAGAAAAUAUUUAUUUAUAGCGGGGAAAGAUUGAGAAAAAAAAAAAGGAACACUGAAACAAAGAGAGAGACAUGGCCACUGAAGGAGAAGCGACGUUCUCUGCGGCGGCUGCAACGUCGAGCGAGGCCGCGAGAGGUAUAGGUGGCAAAUUGAGGCGGCAAACCGCGAGGAGGCAUCCGGCGACGCCGUAUUCUCGACCGCCUCAGAACCAGGUUCAACGGAGGCCGUGGAUCUCGAGAAUCGUAGAUCCUGCUUAUCGGAUUAUUUCCGGCGGCGCUACGAAACUACUCCCCUACUUCUUCUCGAACCCAGCCUCCGCUCCUGCUCUUACACCUCCGGAAGAUCAAAAUCAACAUCAAGGUUUAUUUUUCGCUCUUUCUAGCUUCGUAUAAGACUUGUCUUCCUGGGAUUUUCUACUGUUUUGGGGGUGUUGAUUAUAUUAACAUAUCUCUAUGAUUGUAUUUCCGUGUAUACGAGUAUCUAGGGUUUUUGUUGAAAUUGUUUCAAUGCUGGAAUUUAGAAGCCGUAAUCACCAGGAUAGAUAGGGAUCUUUUGGUUUUGAAUCAAGUAAAUUAUAUAUGAGUAAAGGCCUUUUUGUUUGCGUUUCGCUCAUGAUUCUAAUGGUCAAGUAAGAUGCUCUUGUCACCCAAUUUGGUCUUUGUUAUCUUUUGUGCUUGUGAGUCUACUUUCACAUUAUUGUUACUAACUAGCUUUUUAGUAUGAAGUGAGUGAUGGGUGUAUCUUUGCUUGAAAAGUGGGUUUGAACAACAGUUGUCUCAUCUUUUGGGGAUGUAUUUAAAUAAUAGUUUAGAGAGAUGAGUGAUCCCUGCUUCUAGUUGUCUAAUAUAGUCUUAUAGAUUUCGUUGAAAAUGUCACUGUUAACAUUUGGCCUCUUUUUCUACUAGAUAAGUUGCAGGAAGAUCCACAGGAGAAUUAUCCCAGUAUAACACCAAGUUUAAAUGUAAGCUCUUUCGACUCCUCUGUCUUUUCUUAAUCUCUGAUGGAAAAUGCCGCUUUAGCUAAGCUGAGUUUUUGUCCUUGCUAAAGUUUUUUUUUUUUGUUUGUCAUGUACCAUUUAUCACACCCCUUGUGCAAAUAGCAGCUACAAUCUAUAAGCAUUCUUUAUCAUGAUGAAGUCUUAUUCAAAUGAUUUUUUGCUAUAUAUAACUCUUUGCCCUUGGGUCUCUGUAUACAUAGAUCUCUAAAUAUCAAGGUACUCUACGAUAAGAAACUGUUAUUCUCUUAGCGGUAUACUUUAUGUAGGUCAUAAAUGGAAUAAAGAAUGUGUUACCAGAGAAAACAGUCAUGCAAGUUUCUUCUGGGAGAUUGUCGUAAUAUUAAAGUAUAAAAGUAUUCUUGUAUCACCUAAGAAAGAUGUAAUUUUACGGUUCUUGAAUUGGAACUUUCUCUUGAUUCGGAAUAAACUAAAACAAUUUUUUUUCUCUGCUAUCUGUUAUUUCUUCAUAUGAUGCCUGCUUUUGUUGUUAUUUGCGGUAGAAUGGUAUACAUCAAUUUUUCCAUUUAUUUGAUUUGAGAAAUUUGCAGAAACCGGAGUUAGCACCAAUUGAAGAGGGAGGUACUAGUAGUACCGCAAAUGUGAACGAAAGCAAUCUCAAUAUCAGUGCACAGACAAUAGGCAAAGGAGCUUUAAAUGAUGUCAUUGCGAUCUCGGAGCUUGAAAGGCUAAUGGAAGGAAAAACGUUUUCACGGUAUGUUAUAUCAUGUUAGUACAUGAGUUGCUUUUUAAAUGAUGUUUGAUCGAAAUUUAGUUCCUUUUGGUUUUUAUUUUGUUAAUGCUUAUAGUCAUGUCUGGUCAAUAGAUAUCUAUUGACUGGCUGCUUAUCUUUCCUGGCUUUUCUGCAUCUUUCUUUGAAGUUCUGUUUGUUUUUGUUUACAUAGACGGCUUUGACACUGACAUCUUUUAAUCUCUAUCCAGGUCGGAAACUGAUCGUCUCAUAGAGAUAAUAAAUUCAAGGGCUAUUGAUCGACCUGAUGUCACGAGAGACGAGAGAAUAGAGAUUCCUCUGAGAGAGGAAGCCAAGAAAGAUAUGAGUUUUCUUGAUAAGGGAAAAGAGCCCAUUGGUGGCAAGGAUGCUACUAGUGAAUUUUGGGCUACACCAAUCCCACUUGCCAAGUCAAUAGUGAGUCGCUUGCUACCUUUUUUUGUUUGGACGUUUUAACGAAACUAGCAAUUUACAUGGGUUGCUCAGGCUAUUCCACUUUGCCAGAAAAGUUUAGUUUGGCAGGCUUUAGAAGUAAUUUGAGUAUAUAAGUUCUUAAGUUAUGUAUCCAAAAGAAUUUGGUCUAUGAGGUUUGUGUGAGGUUGGACUAUUUGUGAAGUCAUAUGAAGAAAUAGGUAAAUAGGUAGAGCUAUGUAAGUUCACGUACUUCUUUCAUCAAAGAGUUAACUUGUCUUACGUAAGUAGGCCUUAUUUAUUUUAAUUUAUAAUAUACUAACUUUUUCGUCAUUUUCUUUUUUUUUUAAUAGAUUUUUGACGAAGGCAAACAGGUGCGGGAUAAAGCUGGUCUAUCACCGGUAGAACUCGCUAAGGCAUAUAUGGGAGGCCAGGCAUCAUCAAGUACGUCCCAAGGUUUUGUAGCAAGAAACGGAAAGAAUUGUUUCGACGGGGGUAUGCUUGUAGCAAAUUCUUCAGUUGCAUCACCAUCAAGCAAGCCUUCCGCAUGUUGGCCUGGUGUCAAGUUAAAUGAGCAAUGUGGUUUUGCAACUCCUCAAAGCCAACGUGAAAGCUAUGGGCUUCAAAAUUUUCCAAGGACCCCAUAUCCUAGAUCCAUCCUUUCAAGUUCUAAGUCACAGGUGUGUGGAGUUUUUCUGAAUACCUUUUUGCUCAAAGCAUUUAUGUAUAUUGAACUGUUCCCUUUUUUGCUCAGUUGAUGCAAUUGCAAGACAAUAGUAGCAAGCGCCUGAGCACCCUCCAGUCUCCUUCUCAUAGUGUGCAGUCAAGAUAUGGCCAGGUAAACUCUCUCAGUGGGCUAUAUAAUUUUGAUUAGCUGUAAUAUCUAGUGUGCACGUGCUAUUUAUUUUUGUUAAGUUAAAGGCAAUCUUAAUGAAAAUAUGGUAUUCUGCCCGGAUGUGUUGGAUUCCUGUCUGUGUCCAAGUUAUCAUGAUACACUUUCCCUUUGUAUUUCAGCAAGAUGUCCUUCAUAAUCCAAUUAUAUCGUAGUUUUUCAAAAUAUGUGUCCAAGUUGUUCCGCGGGAAUUGUAAAAUAUACAUUUUCUGUUGACCAACUUGAUCAGAUAGGGUGUAGCUUUUUAAGUGUAAAUCUUAUUUAUUAGGAUCGCCUCUCUAUCUCACGGUAGAUGUUAGUAAUUACCACUAGAUUGAUGAAAUCGUUUUCCACUUGCUUAAGCAUUGGUUGACUUGUCGUCUAAUGUAUACUUAAGGUAUGUGAAAUGAUAUGGUGGUAGAUGUGAUUUAGGCAACAGAAGAAUAGAUCGAGUAUGCAGUUGUACAGAUGACUAAAUUUGUGGACAUCUUUGCCUCGACUUUACUGGAGUUAUUUUCAUUUUACAUUCAUUAUGUUGAUCCUCUAGGUCUUGUUAACAUUUUUCAAAACUUGAUUCUAAAUUAGAAUCAUCACUAUGCUGCCUGUUGAAUGUUUCUUGGAUUCCUUCUAUGUGCUGACCCCUAUUUUCUUUGUUGAAACCUGAUAAAUCACUUCCUAAUGUGCCCAGCUCAAUCUUAGCAAGGGAAGGGAUGGUGGACUUUUUGGACCCAGUAGAAGAUCUCGCCAGAGCGCGACGAUGUCUCCUUAUUCACGACCUUUCAGUGGUACAUCUCGUUUUGAAAAAUCUGCUGUCAUGAAGAGCUCUGAAGCAGGAGAAUCAAGUAGCCUAUCUAAGUCCCAGACAACAACUUAUGGUAGGCAUAAAGGGUCAGAAGUUGGUACCCCGACUGUGCCUGCACAUUCUCGUCAGAUUGCUAGGACGAUAUUGGAUCACCUUAACCGGGCUCAGCCGCCCACCCCGAAAAAUAAAUCUGCUGAGUUAAAGCUUGCCACUUCUUGGAGACAUCCACAGUCUUCGAUAGAUGUUGAAAAAAGCAGCUCGAACAUCAACAAUGUGAAGAAGGAUGUCUCAGCCAAGUUGAAUGAAGAUGUCCUGAACGUUUUUUCUCAUAAUUCGCAAUCCUCUGCGCCCAAAGUUUCUGCAGUUACCACCAGUGACUCUCAAAAUGCAAUGGCAAAAAGUGCUUCAGCAUCAAAUGGAAUAUUUAGUGGAAGCAGUAGUGGUACCGCACUCCAAAAUGAGUUAGGGAAGCCUAAGGGAUCUCUUUCCGGAAGCUCACAUGAAAAGGUAUUUCGAGCACCUGUCUUCUUUUUCUUUACCGCAUUUUGCAUGAGGGUUUAGGGUUUUGGUUUCGUUGCUGUUAUAAUGUUUUGACUUUUUGAUUGUGAAGGACCUCAAGAUAUUCCCAAACUUAAGGAUGUAAAUAAGCCUCAUGACGUUUUGCUUCUUUUGUGACUUUAUAGUAAUCUAGAUUUCUUUGGAAACGGGAUAUACUUCUAACAGUUGGUAAUUUUGUGGUAGUCAUGUAUCUCUGUUGACAGUUUUGAGAUUUAAAAUUGUGGAAAACUGAAUUGCAGUUGGUCGCUUCUUCUCAGGACGCUACAAAAGCUGUUUCCUAUACUUUUGGAGGCGAUUCCGGAAAUCUCCAUAAACCACCAUCUAAUUCACUGGGAAAUAAUAAACGGGUGCUUCCAUCGAUCUCAGUAUCCAAGCCUUUCCAAUGGGCAGGCCCUUCGGGUUCAAACGCUAGCUUCACAUUCCCGGUCUCUUCAUCUGAUGGAGCAACAUCAUCGGAGCCGACAACUCCAUCUAUCAUGCCAUUCACAACAAGUGCAGCGCCAAGUGGUGGUCUUGCCAUUACAAGUCGUCAUGAAGCAACAAAAGAAGAUGAGAUUCCUCAGUUUGGUUUCGGCGGUAAGAGAGGAGAUAAGCUGCCUCUGGUGUUCGCUUUUCCCGCUACGAGCGAAGAAUUGAUCAAUGAGGAUGAUGAGAAGUUAGGUAUCAAAUUCACAUUUGGAUCUGAAAAGCCAGAGAGAAUAUCGUUCAGCUCACCAGGAAGUGAUGGUGUUUGCUGUUAGAACAAGGACGACGGUCUCUGUUUCAUUUUUUUUUUUCGUUUUCCAAUCUUUUUGUCAUGAAGAUUUUGUUCCUUCGGGAGAGAUGUAAUUCGUGAUGCUACUUUUCUGAAACUCCUAAGUUUAUUGAAGUCAUUCCCAGUAUUCAAGGAAGUCUUAAAAGAGUGAAAAUAAAGAACAAUGUACACGAACGCGAUACCUCAGUCAUAAGUAAAUAACUAAUUUACAUGUCUCGACGCAUGAUACAAAGCAAAGUAAAGCUUCUCUUUUGUCUUUUUACAGACGAACACUCGUGUGUGGUGGUGAGUGUUCCUCAUCUUCCUUUGAGCUGCCCUUCUUUUUUUUUUGGUUGGGCUUGUUCUCUCCUCAUGUGCUCGAUUUAUGCUGGAUUUCAGGUUUUGCAGCCACAGUGGAGAAGGAAGCACACCCGAUUUCUACUUCUUGUCAAUCCCAACACAAAAUUCGCCUUCUUUCCUCGCGCGAUUUCUUCUUCGGACAACAACAAUGGCUCACUUUCAUCCUCCAGACAAAACAACGUAUUAUUUACUCACCACCAUCUCUUAUCUCUUUGAAAAUCGUAUACAUUCUCAUUCUUACUCACAUUCUCAUUGGUGGAAUUCCACCUUUUUCUCCCCUGUCUUUGAAUAGCGAAACUUGGGUUAUGAUCCUUCAGAGGAACUGUUUGGUGAUGAUUUCAAGCCCAGGUUAGAGAUUCCAUAACUCUUUCCAUGUCGAUUUCAUUUUCUUCUGUUCUUCAUUUUUGUAAUUACUCCACCACAUUGAGUCUGAUCACACUGUUAUGUUGACUUAUUAUAGUUCUGUUGAUACUCUCAGUUUCCUGGAAAAGCUGAACUAAAACUCGAAACCACUUAGAUUUACUGUAAGAACCAAACAAACCCAAAGCGGUAAUAAAAGCUCAAAGCUUUUUCCCUUUGUUUGAAAAAAACCCAUUAAACCUCCAAAGCUCUCUCUAGCCUGGAUGACUCCAUGCUUAUCCUUAUUUGUACUAAAACGUAAAAGCAAAGCACUUCGAAGAACAUGAAAUAAAGAAAUGAAGAUCCUUAAUGAUUUCAUAAAUCAAGAAAUUAACCAUGGCCAAGAUGAUUAACAAAAUCUUUUAAUACAUAAUUUGAUUGAACAUCAAAACGUGCUAUUGGUGAUGGUUUCUUCAGGAAUGUAUCUGGUGAUUCUCGCGAGCCGAGGUCAUGGUUUGGUCCCAACGGUCAGUACAUUCGAGAGCUUCCUUGUCCUACUUGUAGAGGAAGAGGUUAUACUUCAUGCUCAAAUUGCGGGAUCGAGAGGCCGAGGCUGGAUUGCCCUCAAUGCAAAGGAAAGGUACUUAAAGAGUUUAUGGCUUCUGAACAGAUUGACUUCAAACUUUUGAGUAACAAAACACUCUUUCCUCGUUAUUGAACUAUGCUUAAAUAUGUGCAGGGCAUAAUGACUUGUCUCAGAUGCUUGGGAGAUUGUGUCAUCUGGGAAGAAUCAAUCGAUGAACGACCUUGGGAGAAAGCUAGAUCAAGGUAGUGUGAUUCAAGAAGAGUUGACAUCUCAACUCUGUUUAUUGUUGACUAAUAAAUCUCUUCCUUUUUCUUAUGACUCAGUUCUCCAUUUAGAGUAAAGGAAGACGAUGAGGUUGAUAAUUUAGAGAUAAAGUUCAGUAGAAGAGGCAAAUCUAAGCGGAUUUACCAGUCACCGCCUCCUGAAGUUGGACAAAAGAUCAGCCGAUCUUUAAAAGUUAGUUUCAGAAAUUCUUCAUGAUAUUAUAAUCUCUCCAUGGGGGAUUGUUAUAUUCAGUUUCAAUAUGCUUUUAUAGAGUCUCAAUGCCAAGACCGGACUUUUUAGUAAGCGAAUGAAGAUUAUACAUCGUGAUCCCGUGCUUCAUGCUCAAAGGGUAGCUGCAAUUAAGGUCAGUAAUCAACUCCAUUUGUUUUAAACACUAAAUUAACAUGGAACAACUUUUGAUUUUUUCCUUGAUUCUGCUAAGUGUUAUUGUGCUUUAGAAAGCUAAAGGAACACCAUCUGCUAGAAAGCAUGCGUCCGAAUCUAUGAAAACUUUCUUCAGUAACCCUGAAAACCGUGAAAAGAGGAGCUUAUCCAUGAAAGGUACAUCUGAGUUUCGUAGCUCAAUUUAUAGCUCCUUUAUUAUUGUUGCUGGAACUUUCUCUGCUUGCAUUUGCUAGUAAUGUGAGAUGAAUUAGGUUCAGGCCUGUUACUUUAAGUAGCAGUAGUAUAUCGUUGGAUCACACUGGCACUGAAUAUUUCGUUAAUGUGGGUGUCAGCGAAUAGAAAUAAAGGUUUUGCUUUUCUUUUCCUGGUGACAGAUUCUUGUGCAAGCCAUGAAAUGGUAAAGAAUCAUUUUUCUAAAAUAAUUCUCAUUUUCAGGAAUUAAAUUUUACUGCAAGAACUGCGGAGAGGAAGGCCAUAGACGCCAUUACUGUCCAGACCUGGAAACUGAUGUGGACAGAAGGUAUAAGUGUCGGGUUUGUGGCGGGAAAGGCCACAACCGAAAGACCUGUCCUAAGUUGAAAUCAAUGGUCACUAAAGGCAUUUCCACAAGGUAUCACCGAUGUGGAAUAUGCGGUGAGAGUGGUCACAACAGUAGAACAUGCCGGAAGCUGACAAGGGUAGUGAAACCGAGUGACGAUUCCGGGGAAGAUGGUGUUGGGAAGAGAGGGUAUGCUUGUGGGUUCUGCAAGAAAAAGGGACAUAAUGUGAGAAACUGUCCAAGUAAACGAGUAUCAAACAGUGAAUCUUGCUUAGAGCAAGAAAGUUCUUGAUCAUGUUUCUUUGGUUAGGUUUGGUUUUGCUUUGAAGCAGAAAUAACCAAUCACUUUUAAGGGAUAGAUAUAUUUCGGUUUAGAAUCAAACUUUGAGUCCCUGAACGGUCUUUCCUAACUUCCCCCCCCCCCCCCCCCAACAUUAGUAUUCUCUUAUCCAUCUCAAUCGGUUAUUAUUAGGAUGUUAUAUUUAGUAUGAACGCUAAAAUUAUAAUCAAAAAGCCAAAAAAGUAAUUAGUCACGUUAUCUUAAUUAGUGGAUCAAAAUUUAGGAACGGAGAAUAACUUUACGCGCUAAAAAUAACAACAAAGAAAGAAGAAAACAAAAAAAAAAAAGCUAGGCAGACAAAAUUGACCAAAGGUGAGAGAUAGAAAUAUCCAAGAUGGAUUUAUUCAACAACUACCACACACACACAGACAGAGACACACCACGUACGCGUCUUCCCGUAUCUUGCGUCAAUGACCCCUUAAGAACCUCUCUCUGUGUCCCUAUAUAUAUAAUAAGUCUCUCCUUUACGACUUUUGAGCCACAAGACACAAAAGAAAAAUCAAAGGGGUCAUUAAAUAUCUUUUCUAUAGACGACAUAUCAAGUUAUCAACCAAGAAAAGAAAUUAAAAGAAGGGGGGUGACCUGAGUUGUUUCAACACAAACACAAAAAUGACCGGAGUUUUCAAAACGGUGACGUUUAUGGUUUUGGUUUUCGCUGCGGUUGUUUUCGCAGAGGACUACGAUGUCGGUGAUGAUACGGAAUGGAUAAGACCUACCGAGCUCGAGUUCUAUACUAACUGGGCUGCCGGUAAAACUUUCCGUGUCGGCGACGAGCUCGGUGAGUUUCAUAUGUACUUUGUGUUCUGUUUCAGUCCAUAUUAAGUACGUGUCGGUGAUUGUUAUGUCUUUGUUUCUAUUUUUGUUGAAUAGAUUUGUUAUAAAAAAACAAAAAGAUCAAGUGCGUUUGCACACACUGAUGUUAAUAGUUCACACUUUUUUUUGAAUAAAGGCAUAGGUCACGCAGAGAUCAAAUCUGAAAGACUCUGACUAUAUAUAUGUGCAUUUUUUUUUUUCAUUUUAUUGUUAUGAUAACAAUUUUUUGUGUAUGAUUAUGAUCACACAGAAUUUGAUUUCGCUGCUGGGAGACAUGAUGUGGCAGUUGUAACAAAAGAUGCAUAUGAAAACUGCGAGAAAGAGAAACCAAUCAGUCACAUGACGAUUCCUCCGGUCAAAAUCAUGCUAAACACCACCGGACCACAAUACUUCAUCUGCACCGUCGGUGACCAUUGCCGCUUUGGUCAAAAACUUGCCAUCGAUGUAGUCGCUGCUGGUGGUGGAGGAAGCCGUGGCGGUUCUACCACCCCAGCACCUGGUGCCGGAGGCACCAACUCCACCACCCCAGGAGCCGGGACCACUACACCUUCUGGUCCUACCGGGACCACUACUACUACACCUCCGGCUGGAAGUGGUGCUGCUUCUUCGUUAGGUGGUGCAUCUGUUUUGGUCGCCUUUCUUUCUGCUCUUGUUGCUCUCUUUUAAAUUUCAUUAGACUUGAGAGAGAUAUUGAGUUAAAUCAAUAUGUAUGUCUAAUUUGUUUCAGC
rnacentral:lncRNA from 1 species